UAGUUUGGCAGGAUGCAUAAGCUGUCAUAAAUGUUGCAGCAGAACAUUUACUUGCCUUCAAGGCCUGAAACCUCAUUGGAUUGGAAAAAGAGGGAAAAAUUAAAAAAAAAAAAAAAAACUUGUCAGUGAUAAAUGAAUAGUGUGCGUAACCUGUUUUCAUUCACUGAAGUUCAACGUGUGAUGGUAUAUAAAUUGCUCAAAGACUACGUGAUCCACAUCUCCAAAUAUGUGACAAGUCUUAGAUUUUGAUAUAGUUAUGUAUUUUGCAAGUUUGAUUAAUAAAAACACUAAAAUAUGUUUUUUCUGUUUAGUAUUUAAGAUGCUUGAUUUACACCUUUAAAGGAAGCUUCUUGUUAUUUUUGCCAUGUUGCUCUAUGGCAUGAUUGAACAAUUUGAUGGACUGCUUUUAAUUGAAACCUUUUUCAGUUUAUCUGAAUUUGAUUUCCUUAUACUCUUCUCCAACUUCUAUUCUCUUUAAGCUUAUUUAGUGUGAGUUUUCAUGGUUUAUAAUCUUGUAUAUGUACUGCAGUUUGCGGUUCCUUUUUCCUAUUGAGAAUUACUUUUCUUGCAGGGGCUGUCAGGGAAGCAAUCGAUACUUUAAGGAGUAAUAGUGUCAAUGCAUUUGUGUUGGACCUUCGAGAUAAUAGGUGAUUAGCUUUUGAACAUGCUCCAUUCUUAACUUGGCCCUUUGGCAGGCUUUCUGAAAAUUUGAAUUUGCUGCAGUGGUGGUCUUUUCCCAGAAGGAAUUGAGAUUGCCAAGAUUUGGUAAGUGAAAUUAGCUGGAGGAUUAAUGCUAAACUCUAUAACCUUAUGAUACUUGAUUUUAAAAUUAAUAUAUGGGUGCUUUAAUUUUUAUGCAUAUUGGUAUCUUGUUGAUUAAACGUAUUAUGUUUUUUUUUUUUUUUUUUUUGUGUGUGCGUGCGUUUGUGAAGGGAUGUGUCUUUAUUUAUUUUUCAGUUGAAUGCAGCAGAAAUUUAGUAAAUGCAAUUUCUUGAUUAUUUCUCUUAGCACUCUUGCCAAGUUAGAUGCGAAAUAUAUUCAUCAUUCGAUUCUAAGUUUCAGUCAUGAGAGACAAUAGUUCAUUCUUGUUAUGAUUGUGAUAUUCCUGCUUAUUUGGGAUGUACUUUUGUUCAAUUUAUCUGUAGUCAUUCAAAUUCUGUAUAUUGAGCCUUUUGCCUCUUCAGAUAAAUCAAGGACGCUUUAGACGUCUUUCAUAUCUAACAUGAUUCCUGAGAGCUAUUGAGCCUUCUCCUCGUACCCUUUUCUGAUUAUGAAAUUUAAUCUUCAGCUCCAUUCUUGAAUGUUGUUGCCUUUGUCAUGUCAAGUUUUUUUCUUUCAAACUUUUCUUUGAUGAUUUGACCUGACCUCGUCAGGAUCUCAUCAAACCUCGGGGGUGGUUUUUUUUUUUUUUUUUUUUUAAAGUUCAUCAAUAACGAGUGAUAGUUUGUAGGUCAGUCCAGUAAGCUGAAAUUUAAGGUUUUCUCCACAGCUGAGUAGUAGGACUGUUUAUACCGCACGAGCAUACACGAAAAUUGGAUUUUAUGAGCAUCAAAUAUAAGUGGAUAUAUAAUCUCGAUAUAGCAAAAUGAGCAAAACCAAAUUUAUAAUUAGCAUGAGCCCUGAAAUGAAAAAGUUCGAGCUUACUGUUUGCAAAAUAAGAAAGAUGCAACUGGUCCGUGUAUAUUUUGAGACUCUUCUUCUUCAAUACGAGACACUGUGAUCUCAUUUUCUGCAUCUGAAUAACUUGUUAUGGAUUGAACUUUUAAGGAUCUUCUAGCUUCAGUUACAAUGUGAUCACUGUUUUGCAUUUUUAUAUCAAGUUUUAAUUAGUAGUCCUUGCAUAAAUUCUAAUAAUUAGCUGUUUCCAUUCAGGUUAGAUAAAGGGGUGAUUGUGUAUAUUUGUGAUAGUCGUGGUGUUCGAGAUAUAUAUGAUACUGAUGGAACUGAUGCAUUAGCAGCUUCGGAGCCCCUAGCUGUGCUGGUAUGCUUUUUUUUUUUUUUUUGGGAAACUGUGCUGGUAUGCUUUUGUGUAUUUCAUUGUUUUAGAAUUUGGUUAUCCAUGAUACUUAAUUUUAGGAUACAUGCACCAUUAUCUCUAUCUAGUCCAAUAAAUACGUGUUCAGGAUAUUCAAUAAAAUUCGAGCUAUAUUCAUUUCUUAUGUCUCUCGGUUCAUGGCACAAUCAUCUUAGUUUGUAUACAUAUAGUUCUUUUCAGUUUUCAUUUUAUCUCCUCUCUCUCUGUGUUUGUAUCUCAAUCCUUGUGGAUUUUAUUUUUAAAUGGUGGUACAACAUUAUUGAUGUCUGUUCUGAGCUUUUGUCAGGUGAACAAGGGAACUGCCAGUGCGAGUGAAAUAUUAGCUGGUGCAUUAAAAGACAAUAAACGUGCCGUAUUGUUUGGAGAACCCACAUAUGGAAAAGGGUAAACUUGUUUUCUUGUAAAUCAUUUAUUCGUUAUAUCCCAAUAGUCCUGACUAGAGCUUUUGUUCCAAUCUGCAGCAAAAUCCAGUCAGUAUUUCAACUAUCUGAUGGUUCCGGCUUGGCUGUUACAGUUGCUCGUUACGAGACACCCGCUCACACUGAUAUUGACAAGGUCUUUUACUGAUUCUUAGGUUAUCCCUUCUCUCACUCUUACAUUAAAUCUUCUUUUUCACCUUGCUACAUGCUCCUAUGUUCUUAUAUAGGUUGGUGUGAUUCCUGACCAUCCUUUGCCGAAGACAUUUCCCAAAGAUGAGGAUGGUUUUUGCGGUUGCCUCCAGGAUUCGGCAUCAACUUGCAACAUGAACGGAGGCCAGCUGUUUGCAAGAUAACAAAGAUUUUUCUUCUGUUUAGCUAUAGCUGAGUCUUGGAUGCGAGAAUUCUUUGUGUAGUUUUAACAUUCUUUUGGAGGUUUAUUGAUUCUUUAUCAAAUGUGAAUUAAUUUGAAACGAGGCUUGGGGUGGAGAAUGAAAAAUGUACCCUGUGUGCAAGUGCAACUUCGUAAUUUAUGUUAUUUUAUUUUUUUAUAAGUGUUCUAAGAACUCUGUUCCUACAGAUUGCACUUUGUAAAACUUGUUCAAUCUUCUGCUUUUGGAGACAUUAAACAUUCCAUAUUCCAAAACCAGUAACUUCUGAUGUGUUUUAGUGGUGAAGCAAUAUCAACAUUUGCUAUCUGCAUCCCUUGGAGUUAAUAAACCUCCUUGAAUCUUCAUAACCAAAUGGAUGCAACAUUGCAAUACAGCAAUGGGUAUAUAUAAUUAACAACUCCCAAUUGUUCCUCGUUGAUCAUGGUUGAGGGACAAUUGACAGCAGAAUGAAAUUGGUAAUAUUCCUCUGCAAAGAGUUGCCCCAGUUGUUGCCCUAAACAACUCGCUGGGAAAAAGAGGGGAUGCAAUCCAUUUUAUUCAGGGGGAAUAUAGAAAAUAAAAUCAGGCUAAGACUUGCCACGGCAACUGAAAAGAAUUGAAGAGUGAGAUUAAACAACAUUAAAAUACUAGAAAAAAAUUGUGCUUAUAUUCCCAUUUUCUGCAUUUCCAGGGAAAAAAGCUUCAUAAGUAUGAUAGGUCAUGAGCUGAUAAUCGAUGAGCAUCCUCAGGUGAUAAUGAUAGAAUGCGGUGAUGUAGCUACUUAUGGAGUAAACAACGCUACUUGUUGGAAGAUUCGGCACUCAAUUUCCAGCAUGUACCGAUGUAAAACGAUUCAUGUUUGAUGGACCAAACUGAUUAUCUAAGAAUGCAGUGGACAUUUAGAAAGACCCUCAGAUCAAAAUAAAUUUUUUCUCCUUUUCUCUCUAAUAAGAGGAAAAGAAAGGGAAACCGCAAGACAUAUAUUACUAUAUCUCAUGUAUCCUAUUCAAAGAAUAUAUCUUUACAAGUAUGGAUGAAUCUAAAUCUCUUACCACGAAUAGGACCAAAUUGCUUGAUGAGGAAAAUUCUCAAAAUAAAAACAUGAAAACCUUCAAACAGCUCCACUGUCACCAGAGAGGUAAAAGAACUUGGCUCUUGAAUGAACCAUGAUAAGGAUUAUUUGUGAGCAAACGGACCUUGAUGGAAGAACAAUUUGAUCAUGGUUUCAAAUUUUCAACCGGGUGGAAAAUGGUGAAGCAAGAACAUAAACAAACAACCCCUUCAGAUUUGGUGACUCAAGCUUAGCAAUUUGAAGCAAAAUCAAACGAACUGAUGGUCCAAGUUCAAGCUUGAUCAGGGCAAUUCACCAAAACAUCUUAGCCCAGAAACCUAUAAAUGGGAAUACGGCAAUCAGCAAUCUUAUUAGCAAGGGUAUGUCACUUCUUCUCCCAUUCCCACCUAACUUUUCAUCCUCAGUCCUCUGUGAUUUACUCGUCCCUCUUCUCCGAUUCCCGCUUAAUUUUUCCUCCUUGGUCGUUUGUGAUUUUCUUGGCACUCUUCUCCCAUUGCCGCUUAAUAUUUCCUCCUCGGUCGUUUGUGAUUCACUUGUCACUCGAGAUGUCCCUUGCAUUGGUCUUGCUUCAUCCAGAAAAUCCCAUCCACCAAAGUCAGGCACAUCUUGGGUUCCCUUAUUAACUGGACCAUUAUUACUACCCACCCAAGAUGGAGUAUCCAUCUUUUCCUUUGUGGCAUCCUGGGCUUCUUCUACUUCUCUGUCUUCCAUCUGAACUCUACUAGCAUACAUGGAGGAUGCUUUUCUCCUCACUCUGGACUUGCCUAUAGGCUUCCAGAGCGUCAUUCCCCACAAUUUCUCAAAUGCUAACAACAGUAACGACAGCACAAGGUAGAAUCCAAAUGUCAUAAGGAAAGCUUUAAGGCCAGAAGCUAGCAUAUAGGAGAUGACGACGACGGGAAGGAACCAACCAAAGGACUUGAACACCUGCUCCAAACCCAUAGGCAAAAAAGUACUUGCACAUGUCAGAAUUACAAGAAUGUCCAACCUACUAUUUGAACAACCAAUAUGGUUUCUUUAUGACUCUGAUGUCUCAUAUUAAGCGGACGAAUCCGAGUAACAGACGUUAUGUAACCGAAAUCCAUCAGAAGAAAGUACAUGACAAACGAACGAUUAUAAAUGAUUUGAUGAAAUUUUCACUCGGGCAUAUAGACAAUGCCCUACAAACGUGCAUGCUAUCGCUUAGUAAAUGAAUGAGUAAUCCCGAGCAAUAUGGCAUUUAUAGCUGAACAGAGAUAUACAAUAUAAAACAAACAAUAAAAAUUAUUAAAAAAACAAAAGGGUAACUGAGAAAAUUUACCUUAAAAAUCAAGAUACUUCCAACGGCUUCAUCGAAAAUAAUCGCAGCCCUUUUCUUGUUAAGCUUUGGAGGCGGGUUCUUAGACCACCACUUUCUUUUCUUCCUCUUUUUCUUCUUUACAUUCCCAGUAGAGCUUUGCUCUUCUUCUUCUUCUUCUUCCUCUUCCUCUUGGUUUUCUUCGCUGAAGCUGAAGUUGAAGUUGCGGCCAGCAUUGGAGUCCCACUUGCUGGACUUGGGGGAGAGGGUAAAUGAGAGACGAAGAUGAUGAUGAAAAUGGGAAGUGGUUUUGAGUUGUAAAAAAUGAAGAUGAGGGACGAAGAAGAUGGAGCAGCAGCAGCAGCUGAUGAUGGGUCUCUGUGAUGGUGGUAAAGAAGUGAGGAGAAGACCAUUCUCCAUUAGCUUGUGCUGUCCAUUUGCCACGUUCCUUUUAUCUUCUCCAUUCAGAUUUAGAUUCUCGUCUCCACUCGAGACAUAAAUCUAUCUUUCCCAAAGGCACGAACUUAACUAAUAUUAAAGCCCUUUUUUUUUUUUUCCAAAAAAAAACCAAAUUAAGAUUAUUUUUGGAGGGGAAAUUUUACAAUAGAUUUAAAAUAUUAUAUUACUCAUAUAACAAAUAAAAUAAUAUUUUGAUAUGUAUUUAUUUCUUUUGAAAAUCGAAAAAUGUAUGUAUUUCCUUUGAAAACAUUCUCCGUGAAGAAUGUUUCGUUUUUAUAUUAAAAAUAUAUCAAAAUAUAUUUUUUUAACUCUUUACCUGAAAUUCACAAAAUAUUUUGCUUUUUUCAAAAUCUAAUAAAAUAUGCACAAAAUGACUAUUUUGUUUCAGAAUAUAAAAAAAAUUAUUUAUUGGUUGUUAUUUUAGAUAUUUUUAAAUUGUGUUAUUAUUUUAGAUUGAGGAACAAAUAGUAAAUUGUAAGUCCCCCAACAUAUAUUUGCACGUAUGUAUGUAUGUAUAGUCUUUAUCUAGUGAGGGUAUCCUCACUUUUGUUAAAAUGAUGAUAUCAUUAAAAUACAAAAAAAAUAUAAUUUUUAAUGUAUUAAAAAUUGUGUUUUUUUAAUCUGUUGGUAGUAUCAUCUCUUUAACAAAAUUUAAUAAAGUGAGAAUAUCAUUAGUAGAUAAGAUUGAUAGGAAUAAUUAUAAUGUUUAAAGUUUCCUAUACUUGGUUUUGUGAUUAUUUUGAACAUAUUUUUUAUUGGUGAUUUAUUACUAUUAAAGAUUUGUUAUUAUUGUUACAAAUAUGUUAUUCAGGAUAUUUUAUAUGAGCAGACUUCUUGAUUUAUAUUGUAAAUGAGCUAAAAAUUAGCUAGGAUGCUUAUUUUGUGAUUUUAAAUUAUUGAAUUAGUAGGUUUGAUGAGUUUACAUCAAAUUUUAACCAUAUCUAAUAUUUAAAGGAUAUCUACUUCAUUUACAUGAAAAAAAUUACUUUUAUUCAAUUAUUUUAAUAAUUGAUGAAGGAAUUAAGCCUCCACAAUAUUUUAUGGGGGCUCAAAGUAAUAGAUUGAGUGGUUAAACAACUUUGUUUUUAAACGAAAAGAUUAAUAACAAAGAUAAAAAGAGAUUAGUGUUUGUUGACAAAUAGAUUAGUUAGAUAAAGAUAUCAUAGGGCAAAAUCAAUACAAUGGAAGGAGGUUGGCACAAAUGUAAUUUACAUUUAAGAUUGGAAUAAAUGAUAUGAUGUUAUUAAUGUGAAACUGGACGUAUGAUUUAUUGACAGCCGGAAUAAAAUGAUCAGAAUUAGGAUGAAAAAUAUAAAGUAAUAAAAACAAAAUUAAUAAAUUUAAAAACUUAAAUUAAGGGACGUUUUGUAAAUUCCUCAAACAGUGGGCCAACAGGAGAGAGUGGGAGUGAAAAACGACAUCGUAGUUUAUUAUUCUCCAGCUCCUUCGAUUCCGUCACUGGAGAGAGAAGGGGGAAAAAGAAAAACCAAAAAAAAAAAAAAAAACAUGAGGCCGAUGCAGAUGGAAUUCUUCGGAGAUAUGGAGGAUCAGGGAGCCACGGUAGCGAUGGACGUUGACGACGUCGACCCACUGGAGAUCUUCGGCGAGGGCGUCAUCUCCAUCGACAACAAGCU
rnacentral:lncRNA from 1 species